CGGAGAGCUGGCCGAGUGGCCGAAGGCGCUCCCCUGCUAAGGGAGUACACCUCAAAAGGGUGUCGGGGGUUCGAAUCCCCCGUUCUCCGCCAU
rnacentral:tRNA from 3 species